UACAGAGGUCUCAAGCGUUGUUCGGAUUCAUUGGGCGUAAAGGGUGCGUAGGCGGCGCGGUAAGUCGGGUGUGAAAUCUCGGAGCUUAACUCCGAAACUGCAUUCGAUACUGGCGUGCUUGAGGACUGGAGAGGAGACUGGAAUUCAUGGUGUAGCAGUGAAAAUGCGUAGAGAUCAUGAGGAAGACCAGUGGCGAAGGCGGGUCUCUGGACAGUUCCUGACACUGAGGCACGAAGGCCAGGGGAGCAAAACGGG
rnacentral:rRNA from 1 species